CGAGUCGGUCAGGCGAUCGCUUCUGGUUUCGGCCAGGGGAGGAAAGUCCGGGCUCCACAGGGCAGGGUGCCAGGUAACGCCUGGGGGGCGCGAGCCUACGGAAAGUGCAACAGAAAGGAUACCGCCCGGCGCGAGUCGGGUAAGGGUGAAAAGGUGCGGUAAGAGCGCACCGCGCGGCUGGCAACAGGCGUGGCGAUGGUAAACCCCACUCGGAGCAAGACCAAAUAGGAAUCCGUAUGCUGCGGCCCGCAGUGGAUUCGGGUAGGUCGCUACAGGCCGGCGGCGACGCCGGUCGCAGAUGAAUGAUCGUCCACGACAGAACCCGGCUUAUCGACCGACUCACUUA
rnacentral:RNase_P_RNA from 2 species